UCCCUGAUGGCUCAGUGGUAAAGAAUCUGCCUUCCAGUGCAGGAGAUGCAGGAGACACAGGUUCAAUCCCUGAUCUGGGAA
rnacentral:tRNA from 1 species